UACGGAGGAUCCGAGCGUUAUCCGGAAUCAUUGGGUUUAAAGGGUCCGUAGGCGGGCCGUUAAGUCAGGGGUGAAAGUCUGCAGCUCAACUGUAGAACUGCCCUUGAUACUGACGGCCUUGAGUUGCGGUGAAGUGGCCGGAAUAUGUAGUGUAGCGGUGAAAUGCAUAGAUAUUACAUAGAACACCGAUUGCGAAGGCAGGUCACUAACCGCACACUGACGCUGAUGGACGAAAGCGUGGGGAGCGAACAGG
rnacentral:misc_RNA from 1 species